GACGAACGCUGGCGGCGUGCUUAACACAUGCAAGUCGAACGGAAAGGCCCCAGCUUGCUGGGGUACUCGAGUGGCGAACGGGUGAGUAACACGUGGGUGAUCUGCCCUGCACUCUGGGAUAAGCCUGGGAAACUGGGUCUAAUACCGGAUAGGACCGUGCUUUAGUGUGUGCGGUGGAAAGUUUUUCGGUGCAGGAUGAGCCCGCGGCCUAUCAGCUUGUUGGUGGGGUAAUGACCUACCAAGGCGGCGACGGGUAGCCGGCCUGAGAGGGUGUACGGCCACAUUGGGACUGAGACACGGCCCAGACUCCUACGGGAGGCAGCAGUGGGGAAUAUUGCACAAUGGGCGCAAGCCUGAUGCAGCGACGCCGCGUGGGGGAUGACGGCCUUCGGGUUGUAAACCCCUUUCGGCAGGGACGAAGCUUUUGUGACGGUACCUGCAGAAGAAGCACCGGCUAACUACGUG
rnacentral:rRNA from 1 species